CUAUGGAGGCACACACGGCAGCUGUCAGAGCAGGGAUUAUGAAGGAAGUGAAAAGCAUUGUGGAGCAAGCCUUGAAACUGUACAGCGCUGACAGGGUUGGAUUGGUGGAUUAUGCACUGGAAUCUGCUGGUGGCAGUGUGAUCCACACGCGCUGCUCAGAGACGUUAGAGACCAAGACUGCUCUUCUUAGUCUGUUUGGCUUUCCACUGUGGUACCAAUCUCGGUCACCCAGAGCUGUCAUUCAGCCGUAGGUUCAUCCUGGGAACUGUUGGCCA